GUUAUUUAGUUUAAUAAAAAUGUAGAUUUUGUAAUUCUAUGAUAAUAUUACUAUUAAUGACC
rnacentral:tRNA from 1 species